rnacentral:rRNA from 1 species
GAUGAACGCUAGCUACAGGCUUAACACAUGCAAGUCGCGGGGCAGCAUGGGGGUUGCUUGCAAUCCCCGAUGGCGACCGGCGCACGGGUGAGUAACGCGUAUCCAACCUGCCCUUCACCACGGGAUAACCCGGCGAAAGUCGGACUAAUACCGUAUGUUGUCCAUUGACGGCAUCCGAUUUGGACGAAAGGCUUGGCGGUGAGGGAUGGGGAUGCGUCCGAUUAGCCAGACGGCGGGGUAACGGCCCACCGUGGCUACGAUCGGUAGGGGUUCUGAGAGGAAGGUCCCCCACACUGGAACUGAGACACGGUCCAGACUCCUACGGGAGGCAGCAGUGAGGAAUAUUGGUCAAUGGGCGUAAGCCUGAACCAGCCAAGUAGCGUACAGGAUGACGGCCCUAUGGGUUGUAAACUGCUUUUAUGCGGGGAUAAAGUGGCCCACGUGUGGGCUUUUGCAGGUACCGCAUGAAUAAGGACCGGCUAAUUCCGUG